rnacentral:lncRNA from 1 species
CAGUUAAAUACACCAGCCACUGCAAAGAUCAGCCGCUGGUCCCAGACCACACAUGAGGUUGCGGUAGCGCAUGGAUAAAGGCAUUAGAUUCGCUGGAGACUCGCUGGUCACUAGAGAGCUGGAAGGCUUUUACUGGUUCAAUUCUGCUGUAGCUGCCACUGACUGCUCAUCAAUGUGAGAAGCUUUCCAGAUCAGUUAAAAUCAGCUUCAAGAUGACCAAAUGGCCCACUCAAUAGCUAUAAGGACGAGAGCUAUACUGGACACAUCAGACAAAAAAAUAUCUUUAGUUACGUUCCUUGUUUCCCCCUGGAUAGUGUGGAUAUAAAAACUGUGUCUCGAGCUUGUUUCCAUAGCAGAUACUACUGUGAAGCUUCACACUCGCCUUGUGUCCUUGGCCCCUGUUAAUUCUGCGCACUGGCCCACACCUGUGAAGAUGAUGCGAGCCAAGGCCCUGUAAGUCCUCCGAGUACGGAUGAAUCCUCCAUUCAUUCUGCUUUCCACUCGGAGAAUGACGGACAGAGGGCAUGAACACAAUCAGAGGACAAGUAGACGGGUGUUUCCAGGAGCCAAUGAAAUAUUUUAUUUAUUUCAAUGGGAAAUCAAGCCAGCUGGCUCUUACAUGAAGCUAUCCCCUGGAAUUCACAAAUGCCACUUUCUUCUCCAUCGUGGAAGAAAAGAUACGUUGUAGUUUGGAACAAAGGUGAAACAAAAAAAUCCAAAAUUCCUGAAAAACGGGAUCGACAAAUUUUAGCGGCUGCCCUAACUCCAUGC